AGCAAGGUGGCUCAGUGGAUAGAGUACUGGGCUGGGAAUCAGGAAGACUCAUCUUUAUGAGUUCAAAUCUCAUCUCAGAUG
rnacentral:tRNA from 1 species